UCCUCCACAACAAACACCGUGGCCAGACCCCAGCCGAUGUGCACGUCUAAGUGGCAGUGCAUGAUCCAGGUACCUGAGAACAUAAAGAAGAAAGUGAAGCACAUACACACUUAUUUGUUCAGGUAAGCUAACUGUAUUUCUAAGAGGCGGGUCCACCAGGUUGAAUUUAGCUGUAUCCGUUUUAGGGUUGAAGUUUCCAAAUCCUUCUGCAAGUAUAUAGAAAUCAUAUCCAUGAAGAUGAAUCGGGUGGUUCUCAGCUGUAAAGAUAUUUGUUCCUUGCAACACAAUCUGAACCCUUGAUCCAUAUUUCAACUUAUACACCUUGGUCCCACGAGUAGGCUGCCACAACGACCGGCUUACAUUACCCGUAUAAUCAAAGGUCACUGGAGGCUUUGCCGGAAAGUCGGUAGUGAAGACCCCUGGUAUUCCUUGGUGAUGUGCUUGAAGUAUAGAUACAUUUGAUGGGAGUACAAAUGAUACGUUAUUCAUGCUGGCGGUGAAGCGGGUCCCAUU